rnacentral:misc_RNA from 1 species
GGAAUAUGGAACCCCAAAAGGAAGCAAUGGGGAAAAUUUUAUUGUUGUUAGGGGUACAAGGGCAAUAAUUCUCCAUUAAGGUGGGGCCACGGAAGGGAAAUGGAUCCACAUCCUUUUCCCACCCUGUUAACACUUCUAGUGUGCCAAAGGCACCAAGCGUACUGAGGCCCUAUAUGGCUAUAUCACAUCACUUGGUUAGUCUUAAGCAAGGAUUCAUCCCUAUAUCACAUACCACAAUGCCCACGUACAAGCCUUUUAAGGAGACCUUAGUGUACCUUUUAAGGUCUAUGAGAUUUUUUUUUUUUUUUUU